rnacentral:tRNA from 1 species
GUCUUAUGUAGCUUAAAUAUAAAGCGUUACUUUGAAGAAGUAAAAAUAAGUAAUAUACUUUUUAGACA